GACGAACGCUGGCGGCGUGCUUAACACAUGCAAGUCGAACGGAAAGGCCCUGCUUUUGUGGGGUGCUCGAGUGGCGAACGGGUGAGUAACACGUGAGUAACCUGCCCUUGACUUUGGGAUAACUUCAGGAAACUGGGGCUAAUACCGGAUAGGAGCUCCUGCUGCAUGGUGGGGGUUGGAAAGUUUCGGCGGUUGGGGAUGGACUCGCGGCUUAUCAGCUUGUUGGUGGGGUAGUGGCUUACCAAGGCUUUGACGGGUAGCCGGCCUGAGAGGGUGACCGGCCACCUUGGGACUGAGAUACGGCCCCGACUCCUACGGGAGGCCGCAGUGGGGAAUAUUGCACAAUGGGCGGAAGCCUGAUGCAGCAACGCCGCGUGCGGGAUGACGGCCUUCGGGUUGUAAACCGCUUUCGCCUGUGACGAAGCGUGAGUGACGGUAAUGGGUAAAGAAGCACCGGCUAACUACGUG
rnacentral:rRNA from 1 species